rnacentral:lncRNA from 1 species
CAAACUGCUCUUUCAAUUCCUCAAGAUCCUAACAAUGGAGAAAAGCAAUCCACUUAUGACAGGUUAAAUAUGCUAUAUCUAAAGGCAGCUGUACCAUCUUCUAGGUUAAUAUUUGGAAAGCAUGUUUGUAAAUCCAACAUACAAUUUAUUUAAAUGAAUAUAUGUUUUUUUUUUGCUUGUGAGACUUACCUUUUCGGUGUCUUUGGCAAUGUCAAGCACUGCAUUGGCAGCAUCUUUGGCCUCCUCCCCUGAGCUCUGUUCAUCUCCGUCUUAUUCUCCAAGGCCUUGAUUUCAUCCAGUAACUUUUUGGCACGAGUUGAAUCCAAAUUAUCCUCAAUAUUUUUUAGUUUAGGUUCAGUCUGUUAAAAAGUGACGAGAUAUUGUUAUAAAGCAGUUUAUUAAGGGAAAAAAGUAGAAAUUAUCUCAAAAUAAGUGCAUUGAGAGCAAAUCAAGAAAUCAAAAAGUAAAGAAAGUUACACAGUACACGUCUGAAAUGAUGUGAAGGUGAGUAAAAAUUCCUUUAAACGUGCGAAAUAAACCAUUACCUCAUUAACUUUCUCCCUGAUAAUGUCAUUGUUUUCUUUAGCCUUAUUCAGAUCCUUGAAUAUCUUGUCAUUGACCUUUGCUGUAUCGUUGAGUGCUUUCUCUAUCUCCCCCACAUUGAUAGCCUUGGUUCUGUUCCUGGUGAUGCAACAAGCAAACAGGAUUAGUGACACUGGUGUCCACAGGUUUAGCUUUAUAAUGCAGAAUGAAAUGUGCUCUAGAUCAUCGUCGAAGUGUGUGAUGUUUGCCAGGAUCCGCUUGAUGUCCUCUAUCAUGUCCUUGAUCUCAUCAGGGGAUUUGGGCAGCUGAAUGGACAACACAGCAUUGGCCAGUUUCUCAAUGUCCUCUGGUUUCACCAGCUCAUCUGUUAAGAUACAGUACUUGCUAAUUUACAGUUUAUCAUGUGCAUUUUAUUUUACUCUAAAUGUAAAUGUGUUGUAGGUUUGUCCUGAAUAAA